GGCGCCGGAGAUAGCACGUUAAUGGUACCCAGUUCCCAAAGGUUUACUGAAGUUAAGCAAUGUUGCGCGUGGUUGGUAAACAGAUGGGUGACCAUAUUGAAAAUCGCCUGCUGGCUUUU
rnacentral:rRNA from 1 species